UGUGUAGGAUCUAGUGGCAUCUUGAAGUGAGGUUUGCAGAUUGCAACCAACUGAAUACCACUUCCCUCACCUAUCUCUUUCCAAGUGUGUAGUGGAACCUACAGUGGCCUUCAGGUAA